UGCUUUUGUGGAUGUGCAGUGGCUCAAGGUGCAGCAGGUGAUUCUGUAGAAAGGAGUUUCUCCAAUAAAGCAGAGCUUCUCUUUCAACUCCAUGGACAUCAGAGAGAGUCCCUUUCAAAAAAGGAGGCUCAGGUCUGGAGAGACAAAGGCCUCUACUUUCGAAAAGGCCUCUUGGAUCAAGCCCAGACCCUCAUCAGAGCUGACAACAUGUCCAGCCUGCACUACUGCAAGAACUUCUUUGUCUAUGGUAGUGUGGUCAACUGAAGAAGCCGGCUUAGUUGCUCCAGUCAGGUGCUCACACUAAGAAAGGAUGGGUGAAGGUUAUAAAGUGGCUGUGAAUGAGAACUCGGUCUGGGCUCUACCAAGCAGAGAAGCCAUGCAGAGAUGAGAAAGGUGAAAGCCAUGAAACCAUGUUAAGCAGAAAAAUAAAAAUUCAAAACAGA
rnacentral:lncRNA from 1 species